rnacentral:misc_RNA from 1 species
GCAGAUAAUCUGUGGCUGAUAAUGUUGGAAGGCUACUGCACACUUUUAAUGCUAGAAAUACAUAGGAAGGGGGUGUGGAGGAGACUUGAAAGUGCAUGGUUUAGGUCUUCCUUUAUUACAUUCUGUUUUUCUCUUGCCUGGUUUUUGGUUCAAAUUUUCAUAUUUACAACUUCAACCUUAAAUGGGUUCAGCAAUUUCAUAUGGUAGGUAUUAAAUAGUGACUGAUGAAUUCAAAA